rnacentral:rRNA from 1 species
CCUACGGGAGGCAGCAGUGGGGAAUAUUGGACAAUGGGGGCAACCCUGAUCCAGCCAUGCCGCGUGUGUGAAGAAGGCCCUCGGGUUGUAAAGCACUUUCAGUGAGGAAGAACGCCUGGUGGUUAAUACCCAUCAGGAAAGACAUCACUCACAGAAGAAGCACCGGCUAACUCCGUGCCAGCAGCCGCGGUAAUACGGAGGGUGCGAGCGUUAAUCGGAAUUACUAGGCGUAAAGCGCGCGUAGGUGGCUUGAUAAGCCGGUUGUGAAAGCCCCGGGCUCAACCUGGGAACGGCAUCCGGAACUGUCAAGCUAGAGUGCAGGAGAGGAAGGUAGAAUUCCCGGUGUAGCGGUGAAAUGCGUAGAGAUCGGGAGGAAUACCAGUGGCGAAGGCGGCCUUCUGGACUGACACUGACACUGAGGUGCGAAAGCGUGGGUAGCAAACAGGAUUAGAUACCCUGGUAGUC